GACAGAGGAUGCAAGCGUUUAUCCGGAAUUAUUGGGCGUAAAGAGCUCGUAGGCGGUUUGUCGCGUCUGCCGUGAAAGUCCGGGGGCUCAACUCCGGAUCUGCGGUGGGUACGGGCAGACUAGAGUGAUGUAGGGGAGACUGGAAUUCCUGGUGUAGCGGUGAAUGCGCAGAUAUCAGGAGGAACACCGGCGGCGAAGGCGGGCGC
rnacentral:rRNA from 1 species